AGAGUUUGAUCUGGCUCAGGACGAACGCUGGCGGUGCGCCUUAUGCAUGCAAGUCGAGCGAAGCUUUUCAGUAGUUUACUACAGAAAAUGACUGAGCGGCGAACGGGUGAGUAACGCGUGAGCAACCUACCUUAGUUACUGGGAUAGCCCGAGGAAACUCGGAUUAAUACCGGAUAUUCUUAUUUAAUCACAUGAUUUUUUAAGGAAAGGUCAGCCGAACUAAGAUGGGCUCGCGUUCUAUCAGCUAGUUGGUAGGGUAAUGGCCUACCAAGGCUACGACGGAUAGCUGGUCUGAGAGGACGAUCAGCCACACUGGGACUGAGACACGGCCCAGACUCCUACGGGAGGCUGCAGCAGGGAAUAUUGCGCAAUGAGCGAAAGCUUGACGCAGCGACACCGCGUGUGGGAUGACGGAUCUAGGUUUGUAAACCACUUUCAGGAGGGAAGAAAAUGACGGUACCUCCACAAGAAGCCCCGGCCAACUACGUGCCAGCAGCCGCGGUAAUACGUAGGGGGCGAGCGUUGUCCGGAUUUAUUGGGCGUAAAGAGCUCGUAGGCGGUUCAACAAGUCGGUCGUGAAAGUUCAGGGCUCAACCCUGAAAUGUCGAUCGAUACUGUUGUGACUAGGAUACGGUAGAGGUGAGUGGAAUUCCGAGUGUAGCGGUGAAAUGCGUAGAUAUUCGGAGGAACACCAAUUGCGAAGGCAGCUCACUGGGCCGCUAUCGACGCUGAGGAGCGAAAGCUAGGGGAGCAAACAGGAUUAGAUACCCUGGUAGUCCUAGCUGUAAACGAUGGAUACUAGACGUAGGA
rnacentral:rRNA from 1 species